CCCUUAGACGUUCUGGGCCGCACGCGCGCUACACUGACCAGUGCAACAAGCAUCCGUCCUUGGCCGACAGGCCCGGGCAAUCUUUGAACGCUGGUCGUGAUGGGGAUAGACUUUUGCAAUUUUAGGUCUUCAACGAGGAAUUCCUAGUAAACGCAAGUCAUCAACUUGCAUUGAUUACGUCCCUGCCCUUUGUACACACCGCCCGUCGCACCUACCGAUUGAAUGGUCCGGUGAAGCCUCCGGAUUGGCGCGCACCUCGGUGCCGCCGAGAAGUUGGCUAAACCUUACCAUUUAGAGGAAGGUGAAGUCGUAACA
rnacentral:rRNA from 1 species